UUUUCGUGACACUACGACGAAAGAAACCCUUACAGCCUUCGCAGGUGAGCGCAUUGUAAUGAUAACCUGAUGCCCGAUCGCCGCACACCAAACACAGUUCCUCUUGUAGUCGCGGCGCUGGACCCUUUUUAAUCUUUUUAACAUCACAACUUUCAUUGGCCGAAUAGCCGUUGAGACUGCUGGAAGGUGAGAGAUCAUCGCGACCUGGUGAGUCGGCUAUUGAAUUGACGCACGUGUGCACAUAGACACACACAACAACAAAUAUUCGAUUUUAAACGCAUUAAUAUA